rnacentral:rRNA from 1 species
GACGAACGCUGGCGGCGUGCUUAACACAUGCAAGUCGAACGGAAAGGCCCUGCUUUUGUGGGGUGCUCGAGUGGCGAACGGGUGAGUACACGUGAGUAACCUGCCCUUGACUUUGGGAUAACUUCAGGAAACUGGGGCUAAUACCGGAUAGGAGCUCCUGCUGCAUGGUGGGGGUUGGAAAGUUUCGGCGGUUGGGGAUGGACUCGCGGCUUAUCAGCUUGUUGGUGGGGUAGUGGCUUACCAAGGCUUUGACGGGUAGCCGGCCUGAGAGGGUGAACGGCCACAUUGGGACUGAGAUACGGCCCAGACUCCUACGGGAGGCAGCAGUGGGGAAUAUUGCACAAUGGGCGGAAGCCUGAUGCAGCAACGCCGCGUGCGGGAUGACGGCCUUCGGGUUGUAAACCGCUUUCGCCUGUGACGAAGCGUGAGUGACGGUAAUGGGUAAAGAAGCACCGGCUAACUACGUG